rnacentral:misc_RNA from 1 species
AAGAGUUGCAAAACUCCCACACCAUUGUGAACGUACCUACCUAACCGUUGCCUCGGCGGCGGCAGCCCCCCCCGUGGGCGCCCCGCCGGCGGCAUGCCAAACCAUGUUUUCUCACGGCCUCUCUGAGUAACUUAUACAAUAAGUCA